rnacentral:pre_miRNA from 1 species
AAGGGUUGGCAUAAGUUUGUGAAAGCCGGAGAUUUAGGAGUAAAGUACAAUUAUUUUCGCAAAUAAUUGUAUCUUUUGCUCUUAAACCUUUAGCUUUAACAAAUUUGUGCCAACCCUUUG